rnacentral:rRNA from 1 species
AUUGAACGCUGGCGGCAUGCCUUACACAUGCAAGUCGAACGGCAGCACGGACUUCGGUCUGGUGGCGAGUGGCGAACGGGUGAGUAAUAUAUCGGAACAUACCCUAGAGUGGGGGAUAACGUAGCGAAAGUUACGCUAAUACCGCAUACGAUCUAAGGAUGAAAGCGGGGGAUCGCAAGACCUCGUGCUCAUGGAGUGGCCGAUAUCUGAUUAGCUAGUUGGUGAGGUAAAGGCUCACCAAGGCGACGAUCAGUAGCUGGUUUGAGAGAACGACCAGCCACACUGGAACUGAGACACGGUCCAGACUCCUACGGGAGGCAGCAGUGGGGAAUUUUGGACAAUGGGCGCAAGCCUGAUCCAGCAAUGCCGCGUGAGUGAAGAAGGCCUUCGGGUUGUAAAGCUCUUUUGUCAGGGAAGAAACGGUGAGUCCUAAUACGGCUUGCUAAUGACGGUACCUGAAGAAUAAGCACCGGCUAACUACGUGCCAGCAGCCGCAGUAAAAC